rnacentral:ncRNA from 2 species
UUUGGUGAUUGGGUUUUGGGUAUCCCAAAACUUUGAUUGAAAAGGGAAUAUGGUGAGGGGCUAUAACUGAGCCCUUAACUGUGAGUUUCGUUAAAAGGUUUUGUUCUACAUGUGUCACUUUUUCUACAUCGAAAAGGGAAGACCUGCAAAAUCGAGAACAAGUCGGAAGACCUGCCAAAGAAAAGUAAUGUUU